GGCAGCAGCUAAGAAUAUUCCGCAAUGGAGGAAACUCUGACGGAGCGACGCCGCGUGGACGAUGAAGGCCGGAAGGUUGUAAAGUCCUUUUAGAUAUGAGGAAUAAGUAAGGUGAGAGAAACGCCUUAUGGUGACUGUAGUAUCAGAAUAAGGGGCGGCUAAUUACGUGCCAGCAGCCGCGGUAACACGUAAGCCCCGAGCGUUGUUCGGAAUUAUUGGGCGUAAAGGGCAUGUAGGCGGCUUUGCAAGUCUGGUGUGAAAGGCGGGGGCUUAACCCCCGGACUGCGCUGGAAACUGCAUGGCUUGAGUCACUGAGGGGCAAUCGGAAUUCCUGGUGUAGGGGUGAAAUCUGUAGAUAUCAGGAAGAACACCGAUGGCGAAGGCAGGUUGCCAGCGGAUGACUGACGCUGAGGUGCGAAGGUGCGGGGAGCAAACAGGAUUAGAUACCCUGGUAGUCCGCACAGUCAACGAUGUACACUAGGUGUCCGCUCAUGAGAGUGGGUGCCGAAGCAAACGCGAUAAGUGUACCGCCUGGGGAGUAUGCCCGCAAGGGUGAAACUCAAAGGAAUUGACGG
rnacentral:rRNA from 1 species